GAUGAACGCUGGCGGCGUGCCUAAUACAUGCAAGUCGAGCGAACGGAUUAAGAGCUUGCUCUUAUGAAGUUAGCGGCGGACGGGUGAGUAACACGUGGGUAACCUGCCCAUAAGACUGGGAUAACUCCGGGAAACGGGGGCUAAUCCCGGAUAACAUUUUGAACCGCAUGGUUCGAAAUUGAAAGGCGGCUUCGGCUGUCACUUAUGGAUGGACCCGCGUCGCAUUAGCUAGUUGGUGAGGUAACGGCUCACCAAGGCAACGAUGCGUAGCCGACCUGAGAGGGUGAUCGGCCACACUGGGACUGAGACACGGCCCAGACUCCUACGGGAGGCAGCAGUAGGGAAUCUUCCGCAAUGGACGAAAGUCUGACGGAGCAACGCCGCGUGAGUGAUGAAGGCUUUCGGGUCGUAAAACUCUGUUGUUAGGGAAGAACAAGUGCUAGUUGAAUAAGCUGGCACCUUGACGGUACCUAACCAGAAAGCCACGGCUAACUACGUGCCAGCCGCCGCAGUAA
rnacentral:rRNA from 1 species